AAAAAGCUCGUAGUCGAAAUUGUGUCCUCGGCCGCCGGUUCGUCGCUCGCGACGCCAACUGGCGCGCACGCUGGACGUCCAGCCGGUACUACGAACUCGCCUACGGGGUGCUCUUAACCGAGUGUCCAGGCGGGGGCCGGCAACGUUACUUUGAACAAAUUAAAGUGCUUAAAGCAGGCUAAAUUGCGCUCGCAUACACGCGCAUGGAAUAAUCGAAUAGGACCUCCGUUCUAUUUUGUUGGGUUUUUGUGGAACGACAGACGGAGGUAAUGAUCAAUGGGUGCGGAUGGGGGCAUUCGUAUUGCGACGUUAGAGGUGAAAUUCUUGGAUCGUCGCAAGACGGACUUAAGCGAAAGCAUUUGCCAAAAACGCUUUCAUCGAUCAAGAACGAAAGUUAGAGGUUCGAAGGCGAUCAGAUACCGCCCUAGUUCUAACCAUAAACUAUGCCAGCUAGCGAUCCGCCGAAGUUACUUCUAUGACUCGGCGGGCAGCUUCCGGGAAACCAAAGCUUUCGGGUUCCGGGGGAAGUAUGGUUGCAAAGCUGAAACUUAAAGGAAUUGACGGAAGGGCACCACCAGGAGUGGAGCCUGCGGCUUAAUUUGACUCAACACGGGAAACCUCACCAGGCCCGGACACCGGAAGGAUUGACAGAUUGAGAGCUCUUUCUUGAUUCGGUGGGUGGUGGUGCAUGGCCGUUCUUAGUUGGUGGAGCGAUUUGUCUGGUUAAU
rnacentral:rRNA from 2 species